rnacentral:rRNA from 1 species
UAGCUAGUCGGUGGGGUAAGGGCCUACCAAGGCGACGAUCGGUAGCUGGUCUGAGAGGAUGACCAGCCACACUGGAACUGAGACACGGUCCAGACCCCUACGGGGGGCAGCAGUGGGGAAUAUUGGACAAUGGGGGCAACCCUGAUCCAGCAAUGCCGCGUGUGUGAAGAAGGCCUGAGGGUUGUAAAGCACUUUCAGUGGGGAGGAGGGUUGAUAGGUUAAGAGCUAAUUAACUGGACGUUACCCACAGAAGAAGCACCGGCUAACUCCGUGCCAGCAGCCGCGGUAAUACGGAGGGUGCGAGCGUUAAUCGGAAUUACUGGGCGUAAAGGGUGCGUAGGUGGUUGAUUAAGUUAUCUGUGAAAUUCCUGGGCUUAACCUGGGACGGUCAGAUAAUACUGGUUGACUCGAGUAUGGGAGAGGGUAGUGGAAUUUCCGGUGUAGCGGUGAAAUGCGUAGAGAUCGGAAGGAACACCAGUGGCGAAGGCGGCUACCUGGCCUAAUACUGACACUGAGGCACGAAAGCGUGGGGAGCAAACAGGAUUAGAUACCCUGGUAGUCCACGCUGUAAACGAUGUCAACUAGCUGUUGGUUAUAUGAAAAUAAUUAGUGGCGC